GACGAACGCUGGCGGCGUGCUUAACACAUGCAAGUCGAACGGUGAAGCGCCUUCCUUUUUGGUGGGUGUGGAUGAGUGGCGAACGGGUGAGUAACACGUGAGUAACCUGCCCCCUUCUUCUGGAUAACCGCAUGAAAGUGUGGCUAAUACGGGAUAUUCUGGGUCUGUCGCAUGAUGGGUCUGGGAAAGAUAUUGUUUCGGUGGGGGAUGGGCUCGCGGCCUAUCAGCUUGUUGGUGGGGUGAUGGCCUACCAAGGCGGUGACGGGUAGCCGGCCUGAGAGGGUGGACGGUCACACUGGGACUGAGACACGGCCCAGACUCCUACGGGAGGCAGCAGUGGGGAAUAUUGCACAAUGGGCGCAAGCCUGAUGCAGCGACGCCGCGUGAGGGAUGGAGGCCUUCGGGUUGUGAACCUCUUUCGCCAGUGAAGCAGGGCUGCCUCGUUUGUGGGUGGGUUGACGGUAGCUGGAGAAGAAGCGCCGGCUAACUACGUG
rnacentral:rRNA from 1 species